rnacentral:rRNA from 1 species
AGAGUUUGAUCCUGGCUCAGGACGAACGCUGGCGGCGUGCUUAACACAUGCAAGUCGAACGAGAAUCACUGGAAGGAGUUUUCGGACAACGGAAGGUGAGGACAGUGGCGGACGGGUGAGUAACGCGUGAGGAACCUGCCUUUCAGAGGGGGACAACAGUUGGAAACGACUGCUAAUACCGCAUGACACAUAGAGAUCGCAUGGUUUUUAUGUCAAAGAUUUAUCGCUGAAAGAUGGCCUCGCGUCUGAUUAGCUAGUUGGUGAGGUAACGGCCCACCAAGGCGACGAUCAGUAGCCGGACUGAGAGGUUGACCGGCCACAUUGGGACUGAGAUACGGCCCAGACUCCUACGGGAGGCAGCAGUGGGGAAUAUUGGGCAAUGGGCGCAAGCCUGACCCAGCAACGCCGCGUGAAGGAAGAAGGCUUUCGGGUUGUAAACUUCUUUUGUCGGGGACGAGUAGAAGACGGUACCUGGCGAAUAAGCCACGGCUAACUACGUGCCAGCAGCCGCGGUAAUACGUAGGUGGCAAGCGUUGUCCGGAUUUACUGGGUGUAAAGGGCGUGUAGCCGGGAAGGCAAGUCAGAUGUGAAAUCCACGGGCUUAACUCGUGAACUGCAUUUGAAACUACUUUUCUUGAGUAUCGGAGAGGCAAUCGGAAUUCCUAGUGUAGCGGUGAAAUGCGUAGAUAUUAGGAGGAACACCAGUGGCGAAGGCGGCUUACUGGACGAUAACUGACGCUGAGGCUCGAAAGCGUGGGGAGCAAACAGGAUUAGAUACCCUGGUAGUCCACGCUGUAAACGAUGAAUACUAGGUGUGCGGGGACUGACCCCCUGCGUGCCGCAGUUAACACAAUAAGUAUUCCACCUGGGGAGUACGAUCGCAAGGUUGAAACUCAAAGGAAUUGACGGGGGCCCGCACAAGCGGUGGAUUAUGUGGUUUAAUUCGAAGCAACGCGAAGAACCUUACCAGGGCUUGACAUCCUGCUAACGAAGUAGAGAUACAUUAGGUGCCCUUCGGGGAAAGCAGAGACAGGUGGUGCAUGGUUGUCGUCAGCUCGUGUCGUGAGAUGUUGGGUUAAGU